rnacentral:rRNA from 1 species
CUUUACUGCAACUUGACGUUGGAACUUGGCUGUAUUUGUGUAGGAUAGGUGGGAGACUUUGAAGCAGGGCCGCCAGGUCUUGCGGAGUCGUCGUUGAAAUACCACCCUGGUGCUGACGAGUUUCUAACCGUGUCCGUAAGCCGGACAUGAGACAGCGUCUGGUGGGCAGUUUGACUGGGGCGGUCGCCUCCUAAAAGGUAACGGAGGCAUUCAAAGGUCCCCUCAGCGUGGUCGGUAAUCACGCGCAGAGUGCAAACGCAUAAGGGGGCUUAACUGCGAGACCGACAGGUCGAGCAGGUACGAAGGUAGGAGUUAGUGAUCCCGCGGUUUAGCGUGGAAUUGCCGUUGCUCAAUGGAUAAAAGGUA